GCGGGGUUAGUUCAGUUGGGAGAACGUUAGACUGAAGAUCUAAAGGUCGUGCGUUCGAUCCGCACACACCGCA
rnacentral:tRNA from 1 species